UACGUAGGUGGCGAGCGUUGUCCGGAUUUACUGGGCGUAAAGAGCGCGCAGGCGGUCGUACAAGUCGCGUGUGAAAGCCCCCGGCUCAACUGGGGAGGGUCACGCGAUACUGUUCGACUCGAAGGCAGGAGAGGGAAGUGGAAUUCCCGGUGUAGUGGUGAAAUGCGUAGAUAUCGGGAGGAACACCGGUGGCGAAGGCGACGACCUGGGUCGAUACUGACGCUGAUGCGCGAAAGCGUGGGGAGCAAACAGG
rnacentral:rRNA from 1 species